rnacentral:tRNA from 1 species
GCGGGUGUCAUAUAGCGGUUAUUAUGUCAGUUUUCCAAACUGAAAACGGCGGUUCGACUCCGCUCACCCGCU